UUUUAUCAGAGCAACUAGAACAAUUUGCCAUUUUCUGAUAAGAGGAAGGCUGUGGGAAGCGCAGAUUUGGGCAGUGGUGAGGAAGAUCAGAAGUUCUCUUUGGAGAUGUUAAUUUUGAAAUGUCUCUAGACAUCUAAGGGUUUGGAUGUUAAGAAACUACACAUUUCGGAAAACCUGCUAGCAAGAUAUCAAAUUUGAAAUUGCCAGUGAAAGGCAUUUCCAACAAGAUUUGAAAGAUAAAAGACAAACAGAAACCAUUAUUUCUGCUGUAGCAUUGGCAAGCAUGUAAUGGCUUCAGCAGACACCAUAAAAGAAAUUUUUGCAAGGAGCUUUGAAUGUCCUGUGGCGAAUUAUCCACUUUGGUGCUACAGAGAGUUGAGUUCAUCAGAGCUGAAAGAAGUCCCUUGAAGGACAACUUUGCAAGGUUGAUACAGGCCAGCCUACUGAACCAUUCUUGAUGAUGUGUCUUUCAGUGACAUGAAAUCAGCAAGUGGUAAGGAAACUGAAGUUUAGAGAGACUGAAUAAUUUGCCUCAAUCGGAGACCAGUGGACGGAAGAGCUGAUAUUAAGAAUUCCCCCAUGUCUGACCAGAUAUCAAUCCUGGCUGCCUCCUGCCAUGCCAGCCUCACCAGAAAAAAACCAAGACCUCCAAUGUGCACACACACUCCCAGGCCACAUUCUGAGUCAAUACUGACCAAACUGGGGAACAGUCCCAUUGUCAUCAGAGGAAAAGGAGUCUCACAGACUUGAUGCAAACAGACAAGAGAGGCAUGUUAUGGGGCUAGGACUGAGGGCGUGGGUUUAGAGGUUCCUUACACUGAGUUCCAAAGCCUUGCUUCAUUAGAUUUGUGACCUCAGGUGAGUUACUUAACUUUCCUAAGCCUAUGUGUCUUCAGUUGCAAAGCAGAUAUAAAAAAGGAAACCCUCGUAGAAUUGCUUCGAAGAUUAAAUGAAAUAAUACAUAAGUCCUGUGCCUGUUUCAAAGUUGUUACUAAGUAAAAAAAAAAAAAAAAUUGUAUAAUUAUUACUUGGCAAGGGUUAUUGGUAGGAUUGUCAACGGCUUAAACAGAAGACUUCAAAUGGUUAGUCUCUACCCUAGGAAAGCCAUUCCUGAAAGAACCUGGUGGAGUUCAGUUUCUUUCCAGUCUCCUUAGUAGCUAAUGGAGGAAUGCCCUGCAUUGCUUCAGAAAAGAGAUUGCAAGUCUUAUUUAUAGUAUUUGAGAUCUUGGGUGAGGAAACGGUGAUGAUGAGUAUAGCAAUGCAAUGACCCUGUCUCGUCCACACCUAUGGGUAGUAUUGGUGGGCAAAUCCACUGAGCAUGAGACUUGAUAUUGCAAGCAGUUUCUCGUAGUCCCUGUCUCAUGAUACACAUGGCCAGUAAUAAAAACAAGGAAUGCCUCCCUUGAGAUUCUAAGAGUUUUUGUAUUGUAAUAUAAAUUUAUUCAGAACAGAAUGCAGUAAAGGGUCUUGGGCUACUGCUGAAUUUCAGUAGUGUUGACAGAAACUGGGAAUUAUGGAGCAGUGUCUGCAAUGUUGCUGCCUAGGGAAGAGAUUACACUUGCUUUUCAGCGUGUGGCCCAUGGAUCAGCAGCAUCAGCAUCAGUAAGGACCUUGUUAGAAAUGCAGAAUAUUAGACUACACCAGACCUACAGUUUCAGAUCCUGCAUUUAACAAGAUUCACAGGUGAUCCAUAAGCACUUUAGAGUUUGAAAAACAACUGGGAUAUACUGAGUUCUGCUAUAUGAUCCCAGGAAGCAGAUGAUCAAGGUUGUGGGAGUAAUCCAGAUGAGGAAUGGUUGUGGUCUGAAAUAGGGUACUGAUGGGAAGGGGUGGAUGGAUUUGAAAAUAUUUUGGACUCAUAGUUGAUGGGCCUUGGUAACUGGUUAGAGUUAGGACAAGUACUAAAAGAAACUGUAACAAUAAAAGUAUAAAUAAAAAGUUUGUC